CAAGGCAUCUCCACACUCACUCAUCUCUUGUAGAACCCAUACAGCCGACACUUUGCUCAGCCUUCCAAUGGCGACCACCACCAUGUCCCUCUCCUCCUCGACCUUUGCCGGCAAGGCGGCGAAGAACGUGUCGUCAUCGGCUCUCUUCGGUGAAGCCCGCGUCACCAUGAGCAAGACUGCGGCGAAGGCGAAACAGAUUUCCUCUGGCAGCCCAUGGUACGGCGCCGACCAUGUGUUGUACCUCGGCCCACUCUCCGGUGAGCCCCCGAGCUACCUCACGGGUGAGUUCACUGGUGAUUAUGGUUAGGACACUGCCGGACUUUCAGCUGACCCGGAGACCUUCUCCAAGAACCGGGAGCUAGAGGUGAUCCACUGUUGUUGGGCCAUGCUUGGGGCACUUGGUUGCGUUUUCCCUGGCCCGCAAUGGCGUCAAGUUUGGCGAGGCCGUUUGGUUCAAGGCCGGCUCCCAGAUCUUUAGUGAGGGUGGUCUCGACUACCUCGGCAACCCCAGCCUUGUGCACGCGCAAAGCAUCCUAACUAUUUGGGCAUGCCAGGUCGUGCUCAUGGGUGCCGUCGAGGGGUACUGCAUUGUCAGCGGCCCACUCGGUGAGAUCGUCGACCCACUAUACCCAGCAGGCAGCUUCGACCCUCUCGUUCUAGCCGACGACCCCGAGGCGUUCGCCGAGCUCAAGGUGAAGGAGAUCAAGAACGGGCGCCUCGCCAUGUUCUCAAUGUCCGGCUUCUUUGUCCAAGCUAUCGUCACGGGCAAGGGCCCACUUGAGAACCUCGCUGACCACAUCGCUGACCCAGUCAACAACAACGCAUGGGCGUUUGCCACCAACUUUGUCCCCGGCAAGUGGACAAUGAUUUCUGCAGCACCAAUGGUAUCGAAGCUCCAGAUUUUUCUCCCUAUCCAUCUUUAUCUUGUCAGCUUACACACAAAAAUCGAUGCCUUAAGUAGCCUCUCCCCCUCUCAUAUCAAGGCAUCUCCACACUCACUCAUCUCUUGGAGAAUCAAUACAGCAGACACUUUUAUCAGCCUUCCAAUGGCGACCACCACCAUGUCCCUCUCCUCCUCAACCUUUGCCGGCAAGGCGGUGAAGAACGUGUCGUCAUCGGCUCUCUUCCGCGAGGCCCGCGUCACCAUGCGCAAGACUGCAGCGAAGGCGAAGCAGGUUUCCUCUGGCAGCCCAUGGUACGGUGCCGACCGUGUGUUGUACCUCGGCCCACUCUCUGGUGAGCCCCCAAGCUACCUCACCGGUGAGUUCCCUGGCGAUUAUGGUUGGGAUACUGCUGGACUUUCGGCUGACCCGGAGACCUUCUCCAAGAACCGGGAGCUGGAGGAGAUCCACUGUCGUUGGGCCAUGCUUGGGGCACUUGGUUGUGUCUUCCCUGAGUUGCUCGCCCGCAAUGGCGUCAAGUUUGGCGAGGCCGUUUGGUUCAAGGCCGGCUCCCAGAUCUUUAGUGAGGGUGGUCUUGACUACCUCGGCAAUCCCAGCCUUGUGCACGCGCAAAGCAUCCUAGCUAUUUGGGCAUGCCAAGUCGUGCUCAUGGGUGCGGUCGAGGGGUACCGCGUUGCCGGCGGCCCACUUGGCGAGAUCGUCGACCCACUAUACCCAGGAGGCAGCUUCGACCCUCUCGGCCUAGCCGACGAUCCCGAGGCAUUCGUCGAGCUCAAGGUGAAGGAGAUUAAGAAUGGUCGCCUCGCCAUGUUCUCAAUGUUCGGCUUCUUUGUCCAAGCUAUCGUCACGGGCAAGGGACCACUAGAGAACCUCACUGACCACAUCUCUGACCCCGUCAACAACAACGCCUGGGCGUUCGCCACCAACUUUGUCCCCGGCAAGUAAGAUGUCUUGGAGAUUGUGCACGCCAUAAAGUGUGUUGUUGUGCAGUCUGAGUUGUACUACCAUGAUGUAAAUUAUGAGAAUUUGUGCAAAAGCAAUGCAAGGUUUGUCCAGCUUGAA